UGGGAAGAAUCCUGGUACUGAGGAAUCGAGUUGAAAGAACAUCGGUACCCUGGCAAUGCAGUACAGUCUACAUAAUUGGCCAUUGAUUCGGUCAAGACCAGUCAAGACCGGUUCAGAACAGAGAUCAGAGGAAGAUGCCUAAUUAAUGCUCGGAGGAUGGCGACAGAUGGCGACAGAUGUCGAGGUAGAGAAUAUAUCGGAUAUGGAGACAGAGACUGCGAAUUUUCGAGCAUUGUUGUCGCAUUCGUUGCAAAAGCGAAGGUGACGCGAACAAAGUGGUAUUUUGCUAGGCAGAAUACGAAAUGGAGUCGUGUGACCAAUCGAACGAUAUUCGCCAUCGACUGCUGUUAACCUAAAAUUAUCCGAAACGGCGGACUUGUAUGUAUCGUUUCUAUCGACUAUCGACUACCGGCUGUCGGUAAAUCUAUCUCUGGAAAUAAAAUAGUUCACUGUAAAAGUCGAAUGUAUGACAUACGUGCCGAUAUAUUUCACAACGAAUCAUUAGAAAACGACAAAAAUGACAUUCUUGUAAGCACAAAGGAAAAUCUGAAUAAAAAAACACCCCCGACUAUCUAUUA